GCUCUGGUAGUGUAGUUGGCCUAUCAUCUGAGACUGUCACUCUUAGAACCCGGGUUCAAAAUUUGCAAAAAAUAAUAUUUUUAAAUCAAAUUAUACUUUUUAGAUAAUGUCUUUUGAGUUAUCUAUAUAUUUUUUGCGUUUGAAAAUCCCGGCCAGGGCG
rnacentral:tRNA from 1 species